UUUCUCCUCCUUAAAAUAACA
rnacentral:piRNA from 1 species